UUGUGUCCUCUUUGUCAAGGUGCGUAUUGUGUUUUGUGUGUCCUCUUUGUCAAGGUGCGUAUUGUGUUUUGUGUGUCCUCUUUGUCAAGGUGCGUAUUGUGUUUUGUGUGUCCUCUUUGUCAAGGUGCGUAUUGUGUUUUGUGUGUCCUCUUUGUCAAGGUGCGUAUUGUGUUUUGUGUGUCCUCUUUGUCAAGGUGCGUAUUGUGUUUUGUGUGUCCUCUUUGUCAAGGUGCGUAUUGUGUUUUGUGUGUCCUCUUUGUCAAGGUGCGUAUUGUGUUUUGUGUGUCCUCUUUGUCAAGGUGCGUAUUGUGUUUUGUG